ensembl:lncRNA
GCCCUUAAUUGUUUGCAGUAUGGAUGAUCACAGGACUCGGGGAACGUUCUUACAGAUUUCAUUGCAUGAUAGAUGCCCAUUCUGGAAGAUUUCAAGCGGCAGAUUAUCAAGCAGAAAGGAACCAUCACAGACAUUUAGAAAACACUUCAGAUCUACGCAGCUUAGCAAAGCUGGUGUCACAGAACCCCAAACCCACCGUUGUGCUGCAGGCUCCACAGCCUACACUCAGAACCUUUCCUUCAAAGCAAAGCAAAAAAAGAAAGAAAGAAAAAGCAAGCAAGGUGAAUGCCAGUUUGAUUGGUGGCAGGCUGCAGACUCUGAAGGCUGUUCUCCAUCAGAGCCUGCACAGCGAGGACCUGUGUUUGCAUGGGAAGCACGAAGCACAAAGGAGGUGCUCAGGCCUCACCUCGCACAUUUAAUCACUCCUGUGAAUGGGUGUCAUUGAGGUCCUGGCAGCCCAGUCCCAGCAUGCUGCAUCCCCCCGAGGUACCAUUGCCGUGUGAGCUGCAAGCGGCACAGAGAGGCAGAUCCUUUUAUUCCUCCUUUCCCAAAUGAUCAGCCAAUGUUUUAGGAAAGAAUGAACUUCAGAUCUUCUGAGCAUGCAAAGCAACAAGGCAUCAAGGCAGCAGUGACACAAGCAGCAAUAUCCUUUGCCCAAAGUAGGGGGAAAAAAAAAUCCCUGCCCAGAAUGAAUUAACACGCUGGCAUUUCUCUCUCUGGUCCUGCAUCUGGAUCUUAGAUAGCAGUGCUACAUUCCUUGCUGGAGUUCUGGUAGAGCCAGCAUGUUACAAAAACGGGGAUAACAGAAUUGCAAAGAGCAUAUACUAAAACGUCUUGCAGUCCUGUAAUGAGCCUGAUGCAUCAUGAAUCAAAAGUGCAAGCGGAAUUCUUCCCUGGAGAGCCUAACUGUUCAAGGAGAAGGAAUUCACUGUGUCAUAAGUAAAAUAUGUUUAAUAGUUUGUUGCACUGUUUUCAAGCAACUCAUUUAGAAAAUUACAAUAUUUAAGCUGUGUUGCAUUUUUGAUCAUUCUUAUUCUGGCAAACAUGAUAUAUUUCCUAUUGAUUUUUAA